rnacentral:rRNA from 1 species
UACGGAGGGUGCAAGCGUUGUUCGGAUUUACUGGGCGUAAAGCGCGCGCAGGUGGGUGUGCAAGUCGGAAGUGAAAUCUUGAGGCUCAACCUCGAGGCUGCUCCCGAAACUGCACGCCUAGGGACUGGUAGAGGCUGGUAGAAUUCCCGGUGUAGCGGUGGAAUGCGUAGAGAUCGGGAAGAAUACCCGUGGCGAAGGCGGCCAACUGGACGGUGACUGACACUGAGACGCGAAAGCGUGGGGAGCAAACAGG